UUCACCUGAGGCCUCACUGCCCUCGUCCAUCCCCUCACAAACCCCCUGCUGGUCAAGGGAUGGACCUGCUAGAAAAACAGCCAGUGCUGGAGCAGCCAUUCUAAUACUCACAAACCCCAACGACGGAAAAUAAACACAGAACCAUGAGAGGACAUCAGCGAGCCACCAGAAGCGCUCUGCCAUCAGAUCUGCAGAACCCCUCUCUUCCCCCCCAAAGAUUUACAAUGACAGGUCUUUAUAGACCUGCACCAGCUGCAUCCAAUAAAGAAGGGGAGGAGUCCAGGUUGGUCGAAUCCAAUCGGCUACACCUUGGGUGAAGGGUAGCCAUCUUCCCUGCAGAUUUCCUGUACAUGGAAAGACAGGACACAAACCAACACAAACACCCCCAAAACGUAACACCGGCCGAUGA
ensembl:lncRNA